UAACGCUUUUAUUCCUCACGUGUCAAAAUGAUAAUAUAGGUCACGCCAGGGAGGUAAUGGGUCAAAAUUUCCCGAAAAUCGAUCAUAUGCUUUACGUAACGUUUUUCCGGAUACACAAGAAAAGCAGGCUUGACUACUAAUUUGGGACAGAGACGAAAUUGGGCUCUCUUACUUAAAUUUCACAUACAAGUAGCUCGUUGAUUGGCAAAAGGUGAACAAACGGCUCUAAUUUUUAUUGCGACUGUUCUUCUCUUUCAUGAUAAUACAUGUAAUAAUGUAAAGCAUAUCUUGACAAGUUUCUUUCUACCAUGAAAAUUUAAAUUAGUCAAAUUAUAAUGUACUUUUAGCCGGAUAAUUUAGAUAUCGUUGAGUUCGAUUCGAUUAUGAUCAUUUCAUAUUUGUUAAGUAUUUUUAGAUCCUAUGUAUGUAUAUUGCUCUUUCUUUCAUAAUAUAACAACUUUUUGCCGUUCUACAGCAAAGCAGAGAAGCAUGAUAUUCAUAUAUUUAGAAACUUUUUACCUACUAAUCUAACAAUACUUUUAUCCUGUCGUGAUAUUAAAGCUAAUACGUAAACGUUAACCAUAUGGUAAAGCUAUCG